rnacentral:rRNA from 1 species
ACUCAAAUGAAUAGACGGGGGCCCGCACAAGCAGCGGAGCGUGUGGUUUAAUUCGACGCAACGCGAAGAACCUUACCCAGGUUUGACAUGUACCUGCAGAGCCGUCAAAGCGGCUGGCCUUCGAGGGUGGUACACAGGUGCUGCAUGGUUGUCGUCAGCUCGUGUCGUGAGAUGUUGGGUUAAGUCCCGCAACGAGCGCAACCCCUGCCGGUAGUUAUUAGUGUCUACCGGGACAGCCGCCUUGAUGGGCGGAGGAAGGCGGGGAUGACGUCAAAUCCGCAUGGCCCUUACGCCUGGGGCGACACACACGCUACAAUGGCCGGGACAGCGCGUCGCUAAGCCGCAAGGUGGAGCAAAUCGUCCAAACCCGGUCCCAGUGCAGAUCGGGGGCUGCAACUCGCCCCCGUGAAGGCGGAGUUGCUAGUAACCGCGUAUCAGCCAUGGCGCGGUGAAUCCGUUCCCGGGCCUUGUACACACCGCCCGU